rnacentral:rRNA from 1 species
AUUGAACGCUGGCGGUAUGCUUAACACAUGCAAGUCGAACGGUAGCAGGCCUUCGGGCGCUGACGAGUGGCGGACGGGUGAGUAAUGAAUAGGAUUCUCCUAUUUAGGGGGGGAAAAGGUGGGAAAAUUCCGGCUAAAACGGAAUACGCCUUCGGGGGGAAAGCGGGGGCCUUUCGGGCCUGGCGCAAAUAGACGACCUUCGGUGGGAUUAGUUAGUUGGUAGGGUAAAGGCCUACCACGGCGACGAGCCAUAGCUGGUCUGGGAGGAUGAUCAGCCACACUGGGACUGAGACACGGCCCAGACUCCUACGGGAGGCAGCAGUGGUGAAUAUUGGACAAUGGGCGAAAGCCUGAUCCAGCAAUACCGCGUGUGUGAAGAAGGCCUGAGGGUUGUAAAGCACUUUCAAUGGGAAGGAAUACCUACCGGCCAAUACCCGGUAGACUGACAUUACCCAUACAAGAAGCACCGGCUAACUCCGUGCCAGCCGCCGCAGUAACAC